AAGAACUGACGACGUUUAUGCAUUUCACAAAGAAACCAGAGAGAUUACAAGCUAUCACGCAGAAUAUUUGUCCCCACGGGCUCCACACGACGAAUCAGAUGAGACCGAUCAAUUUCUGUCACAACUAAAUGAAUGUCUCGAUAAACAGAACCGUAUACCCAAAGGUUUACCGAUCUCAUUUGAUAUUACAAGGAGAAAUAGUCACAUCGAAAUACUAGCAUUCCGCGAGAAUGAUUACGAUUUCUAUAAAAUAAAUUGGGAAGGAAUUUCUUGUUACCAAAAAAUCGGUGACCAUCGCAAGCCAAACGAUACUAUGGGACUGGAUAAUAAACAAUGUGAUAAUCGACCAUUGUCGUCACAUGAAGACUAUGGUACUUUUCGCUGUGCUUAUGAUAUUUGGACGACGGUGCACGAUAAUGAAGAAUAUGUUGUAUUUUACGUUAAAACUGGCAGAUCGAGUGGGGCAAACGCUUAUGUCAUCAAUACGUCUAAGAAUGAAGUCAGCUACUUUGAUUCUCGAU